ensembl:lncRNA
AAAAGGGAGAAAAUACAAAGAAAAAGGGACAGGAAGAUGUGUAAAAGGGACAGAAGAGAAAAAGGGAGAGAGAUGAUGUGAAAAAGGGGCAGGAAGAGAGGGACAACAGGUAAAACAAAUAAUACAUGUGUCUUAUGUUUAAAAUGUAUCUGUAUAAUUGACCUGUAUUGUGUGUUGUCUUCUCAUGUCAGCGCCACAACAUAGAGGACAGCUUCUACUGGCUUGCUGCUACCCACCUCUGCCACCUGAGCUGUGUAAAGGUAAAUCAUCUCUCACAUACACAGUCAUGCAAUUACGACUUAUCUAUUGAAAUCUGUAGGCAGCAGUGGCUCAGGAAGUGGAGCGGGUCGUCCAAUAAUCAAUGGUUUGGCGGUUCGAAUCACAGUCUCUCCCUUCGUAGUGUCUUUGGGCAAAAAAAUAAUAAUUUGAUGUAUGUGAUCCAUCGUAAGUAUUCUAUCAAAUUUCUUAAAUCUGCCACUGGGUGGUGCACGAGCUCAACUCUGGGUCAACCUACUCCGAGUUGAUUGAACCAACUCUAAAAAGCUGUUCUGAAGCCCAAAACUCAGAGUUCCCAUCUCAGGGUAAAUCAACUCAGGGUUUGUUAAACCUCCUAUUGAAAUGGACCCCAGUCCAUCGAAGAAAAAAAACAGCUGUAUUAUUGAGUAAAGAAUCAUUGUCAACGACAGCUUGAGGUUGUGUGUUCCCUGUGUGUUAUUUAUAAUAAAUAAACAUUUAUUUAUUAUAAAAGGUACACACUGUGCUUUAUUGACGACAGUAUGUGUUGGAGGAAACAUGAGAGAGUGUUAGGAGAGCGGCUCCGACCCCCAACGCAUGUGGCCAGGCAUCCAGGCCAUCAUGACCAUAAGGCAACCAACUCUACCCCCCGAAACAGUGACGCCUCCUUCCCUGACGAGCUGAGCAGCUUUUACGCUCGCGUCGACAGGGACAAUGAGGACGUGGCCUGUACAUCUCCUUGAAUGACAUGUUGCAGUAAAGUACAUUUACACCAUUUAAAGCCCUCAAAGACUCUCACACUAAACUUACCAGGUAUGAUGAUAAAUACAAAAGAGCAGUAUGAUGUAAAGACACACUGUAGAUUGCUGGUGUGAUGAUGGUGUGAUAUUUGAGCCUCUUCUCCUCUGUCUCCUCUCACAGGGAGGAGAUGAUCUGCAGGAUCCUGGUGAUCUUCAUCCUGACCUCCUGUGUCUGUGCAGGGUCAUUUGUAGUCAAUGUGACACAGAGCUGGUAUCAUGCAGAGGAGAACCACAACGUCUCACUGGAAUGGAUGUUCCCCACCAGCACGGACCACUCCACCAACUCCCUUUAUGUCUCAUGCGAGAUGUUAGUUGAUAUGAUACCAUUACUCAUGUUUCAUCUACAUAAAGGUGUUGAGUUCCCAGAGUUGCAGGACAAACGCUUUGCAGGACGAGUCCAGUGGGACAAAGACGUCCUCGGAGAAGGACAACUCAGACUUCACAUCUCCAGACUCCAGACUAAUGACUCGGGGCUGUACUGGUGUGAAGUGGACACAAGUUAUGGGAGGAACUUUAAGGAAUGUCACCUCAACGUCACCGCAGUGAAGGAUCGGCCUGAGACAACAAGUGAUACGAGUCUGAGAAGAAGUCCUCAGGGAAUGAUCGGCCUCUACUCUGCACUGGGACUGACCGCUGUACUGGGUUUUUAUUUAUUUUAUCUCUGCAUGGCAAAAAAUAUUAGAGAUCAACACAACAAACGAACCACAUCUGUAUCUUGGACAUCUUGGAUCUUGUAAAGUGGACGUUACAAUUUAAUUGUGUUGUUGUGCAACUGGUCAGACCGGCCGUCUGAGGAACUAGCUUUUUCCCAGAGCUGUUACAUUACAUUACAGGUCACCCUUUUGAACUCUUUCCCCCCCCUCUGGUCCCCAUUACACUACUCUAUCUGCACUGAAGACACUUUAUACCAUUUGUUUACUCUCAAUUCAAUAUGCACUUAAUAUUUGCACUAGUUUAGCAACCCCUGAUGGUUUCUGUUUAUAUCUCCACAUUUAAUGUGAAUCUGUCUGUUUUGCCUAAUUUAUUACCAAAUAGUACCAUAGGCCAUAAGACAACCUCUGUAUAGUGUUUAAUGUAUCUAUGAUCUGUAUAUACUGUUAUCUAUUAAAAUACUUUCUGUUGCACUGGUUUGAUGCCAAACUGCAUUUCGCUGCUCGCUACUUGUACAUGUGUAAUGACAAUAAAGUUGAAUCUAAUG